CCAAAAGCUCUCAAAUGGGAGUAGGCUGGUGCCUUUCCAUGUAAAACAUCAAAGGGAGAUUUAUGAAUAAGGAGUCUGGAUGGUAGUCUAUUAAGGAGAUAGGUGCCAGUUAGUAAGCAAUCCCCCCCAAAAAGAGAUUGGUAGGCCAGAUUGAAAAAGUAAGGCUCUACAUGUUUCAAGAAGAGUCCUAUAUUUCCUUUCCACAACACCAUUUUGUUGGGGACUAUGAGGGCAGGUGGUUUGGUGAAUAAUCCCUUGAUUACUAAAGAAAGAAACACCCUCAAUGCUAGACCCCAGUUCCAAAGCAUUAUCACUUCUAACAAUUUGAACCACAGCAUCUAAAGAAAGAAACACACUCAAUGCUAGACCCUAGUUCCAAAGCAUUACCACUUCUAACAAUUUGAACCACAACAUUAAACUGAGUUUUAACCAUACACAGAAAUGAUUUAAGCAGGCAGAAGGCAUUGCUUUUAGAUCUCAGUAAAUGUGUCCAGGUAGCCCUAGAGAAAUCAUCAACAAUUGUAAGAAAAUAUCUACAACCAGAAGAAGUAGGAGUGUGAUAGGGGCCCCAAGUUUCCACAUGAAUCAGUUGGAAAGGUUUAGAAGUGGUAUUGUGCUAUCAGGAAAGGGUAGCCUAGUCUGUUUAACCAUAGGACAUAUAGAACAAGGGAAAGACUGCUUAGAGGUUAAGGGAAAUGGUAAUCCAGAAAUGUGUUUCAUAGUUGAAAAUGAAGUAUGAGCAAGUCUUAAAUGCCAGAUGUAAUUCAUGUUAGUUGCAGCAACAUUAUUACAGAGCAGACUAUUUACAUUGGAAGGUAAAGCAACAUCUUUAUGGCAACCAGUAAAAGAAGAAUGUCAAGAUUACAAGAGUUAGAUUUAGAGUAUACAAAAGAAGAUGAACAAGCAGUAGAGGAACCAGUAGAGGCAGAAGGGGAAGCUGGAGCCCAUGCAAGCUUGUAUAAACCAGCCUCUUCUCUACCAAGAUCCAGAGGCCUCCUCAGAGAAGGGUCCUGUAUCAUGUGGAGGAAGCAGCAAGUUGGAGUGAACAAAACUAUGCAAUGCAAGUGAUUAGAAGCCCCUGAGUCUAUUAUCCAGGUGGCAGAGUUAAUAUGGGUAAGCAUGCAAAGCUUGGAAUCAGAAAUAGGGCUCUCAGUUAGCAUAGUACAAGCAAAAUUAGCAGCAUACAUGGGAGGAGGAGUCUGAGCAGUGGAGUCCCCUAACUAGGUAUGUUGUAACAAGCUCAUCAAUUGGUCAUAUUGUUGUCUGCUCAACCCUGGUAUCACAGAACUUUGGCCAUCUAUGUUUGUAACAGAAUGAUGGCUUUCAGGAGGAUUCCCUUGGGGAACAGACACAUGUCCUUCAGAAGAAGGGAAAUCCACACCAGCAGUUAGAUGAGUAGCAGCAUGUCUCCUCCCCUUGUUAAAUGUUGUACUUUGUGGAUACCCAUGUAUCUUGAAAUACUUAUCAAUUAAGUGCCCGGAUUUUUUGCAGUAUCUACAGAAUAAAGGCCCUCUAGCUUGGUCAAAAUUGUCUCUUUAUCUGAAAGAAGGAGAAGGAUUAGGCAUUGUGGCCUUAUUGAAUCCAACAGAAUGUCUAUUUGUGUGGACAUUGAAAGACAUAGAGUCUGGAUUAAACUGAGAAGGGGACUGGACUUGUCUCUGCUUCUCAUCAUUAAGGACCAUAUUAUAGACACUGUGAAGGGUUGGAGGUGACUGCAUCAUCAAUAGGUUACUCCUUACCCCCAUGUAUGCUUCAUUAAGCCCCAUUAGAAACUGAAAGACAUUAUUCUCAUCAUUUUCCUGUAUUAUACCAUCUUUGGCAGCACAAACAAAUCUCUGUCCAUGAUUUGUACACAUAGAUUCUAAUUCAUCCCACAGACGUUUAAGUUUAUUGAAAUAUGAAGCUACAUCUAGGGACCCUUGAGAGGUGUGAGAAAGCUCUCUNNNNNNNNNNNNNNNNNNNNNNNNNNNNNNNNNNNNNNNNNNNNNNNNNNNNNNNNNNNNNNNNNNNNNGGGACCCUUGAGAGGUGUGAGAAAGCUCUCUUUUCAAUUCAAAAAUUUUGGUCCUGUUGGCAGUGCCAUAUCUGGCCUGAAGCUGGGACCAUAUACUCUAUGCAGUAUCAGAAUACUGCACACUUUCAGCAAUUUGAGGGGAUAGGGAGGCAAUCAACCAGGAAAUCACCAUAUUAUUGGAUCUGUCCCAUAGUCUCUGCUGAGUCACAUUAGUGACUGGCCGGGGACAUGUGCCAUCAACAAAACCAAUUUUGUUUUUAGCAGAUAACGCGACAAUCAUCUUCCUCCUCCAACCCCGAUAGCCACUGCCCGAGAAGGGAGUGGACACAAGAGAGACUCCAGGAACAUCAGAGGAGUAGAUAAAAAGGGGACUAGUAGAGUCCACUGAGGAGGUACUAGCAUUCAUAUUAGAAGCCAUGAACAAUAAUCAGUUUGAAAUAAAAAAAAAACAGUCUUAGAACCCACAUGAAAAACAUACAACACUUAGAACAGGGAUAGAGUUACCCUCCUUCUUCACGACCGGAGAAGAACGGCCUUCAAUCGCCAGAUAAAACCCUAGGUCCAACCGCCGGAAACCUUACUGGAAACUUACCAAAAUAGGGUCAGGGAUGUCGUAAAAUCACCCAAAACAUCCACCGAGUGAGGAUCGAGACACUGGAUAGCAGUAAAACCCUAGGUUCAACCACCAGAAACCAUAGAAUCUGGAGAGUCACCGGAAAAAGGUCAGGGAUGUCGGAAAAUCACCCAAAACAUCCACUGAGCAAAGAUCAGAGCAUCAAACAACAGUAAAAACUCCGAUUAUCCGUUCAAUACACAUCGUUCUCUCUGUAAACAAAAUCUCUCACAAAUAUCCGAGAAAAACCUUCAAUAAAACUUCCAACGCAAUCGAUAACAAGUAACGGAGAUGAAUCCGAGGAUCAUCCCGCUCUGAUACCAUAAAAACGUAAGGAUUGAUGGCAAAGUUGAUGAAGAACUUAGUGAGAGAAAGAGAGAGAAACUGAAGAACUCUUUGGAACAAAGAGAAGAAUCCGAGGAACAUCCCGCUCUGAUACCAUGAAAACGUAUAGAUUCGAAGGCAAAAUGACGAAGAAUACAGUGAGAGAAAGAGAGUAGCUGAAGGAACUUUCUGGAAGAACCGAGAGAAAAA
rnacentral:lncRNA from 1 species